AAUAAACCUGAUGUGGCUGUUAGCUGGCUUUUCGAAGCAUGUGCUCGUCCGUCAUCUUUAUCUCUCCACCUGUGCACAUUUUGUAGUCUUGGAUACCUCUCGAGGCAACUCGGAUUUUAGGAUCGCCGUGGCUUUCCUUUCAUUUCCAAGACUAUGUUUUUAUAUACACCAAAGUAUGUUUAAAGAAUGUUAUCAAUAGGAACUUGUUUCCUAUAAAAUUAUACAACUUUCAGCAACGGAUCUCUUGGCUCUCGCAUCGAUGAAGAACGCAGCGAAAUGCGAUAAGUAAUGUGAAUUGCAGAAUUCAGUGAAUCAUCGAAUCUUUGAACGCACCUUGCGCUCCUUGGUAUUCCGAGGAGCAUGCCUGUUUGAGUGUCAUUAAAUUCUCAACCUUCCAGCUUUUUUUUUAUUAGCUUGGUUUGGCUUGGAUGUGGGUGUUGCAGGCUUCAUUAAUGAGGUCAGCUCUCCUUAAAUGCAUUAGCGGAACUUUUGUGGACCGUCUAUUGGUGUGAUAAUUAUCUACGCCGUGGAUGUGAAGCAGCUAUAUAUGAAGUUCAGCUUCUAACCGUCCAUUGACUUGGACAAUUUUUGACAAUUUGACCUCAAAUCAGGUAGGACUACCCGCUGAACUUAA
rnacentral:rRNA from 1 species